GGGAAAUUUGGGGUGAAUUUGGGGUCAGGGAUGGGAUUGGGAUCAGAAUGUGGGGAGAUUUGGGGCAGAUUUGGGGAUAUUUGGGUGUUUUGGAGGCGGAUUUGGGUCGGCUUUGGGGUCGGGGUGGAUUUGGGGCCGGGAUUUGGGGGUGUUUGUGGUGGCUUUGGAGACAGUUUGGGGGCUCCGACCACCUCCAGCCCGAGACGCGGCGGAUUUGGGGCCUUCGGGGCCGAUUUCGGUCCCUUUCGACCCGUUCCGUCGCCGCCCCUCUCUCCCCCCCCCCCCCCAGGCCGUACCGGAGGUGUUGGGGGGCGGAUCCGUAGGGGGGCGCCCGCCGCCGCGCAGCGCUCUAUGAUCGCCUCUGCGGUCCUCCCGCGGCGCGGAGAUAUGACGUCACGUCCGGCUGCCUGCAGUCAGCACUUCCGGUUGGGGCCUGGUCCGGAGGGUGCGAGGCGCCGCGAUGGGGCGGGGGAGGCGCUCAGUGAUGGCAGAGCUGCGACGUCGGUG
rnacentral:lncRNA from 1 species